ensembl:lncRNA
CUUGUAUUUUGCACGCUUUUGUCUUAUUUUCUAGUGAUUCAUGUUACCGUAUUUUACAAAAUGACUGGUCUGCAAAGGACUUGAAACAGAAAUCCAACACUAGCUCAUCACCACAGGGAGUUUGGAAGCCAUGCCCCAAUCAUACUUCCUUCCUCAAAUAAGGGGAUUGGCAAAGCCCAGCCUGGGGCUGGCCCUCACCCUUAUGGCAGCUUCUGUGGCAGGAAGUGUCUGCUGAUCUCUCACCUAAUAUUACUGUACCAUUUACAUGUUUGCUGCCAUAUUGUUAUGUUCUCCCUCCCUCCCUCUCUCCUCUCUCUCUCUCUCUCUCUCUCUCUCUCUCUGUCAGCUAAACCCAUGAGGACAGGCAUCUCAUCUGUCUUCUCCAGGAAAGCACCUGGGACCACGUGCCUGUGGUCCCAGCUAUUUGGGAGGCUGAGGUGACAGAGGAAGAAAGGAGAAAUUGUAUCUUCAAUAGAAAAAAUACCAUACAGAUUCUCCUCCCGGGGGUCUCCUUAUUGUCCAGAAGUCCACUAACUACCUGCACUGCCACCUGCCUUGCUCUGAACAGCAGCCCGUAGCCCAGGCCUUUGCACCCUUGUCUAUCUCAAGCACGGAAAGAGAAUGUAGGGAAUGGGAAGCCCUCACCCCUGCAUGUGUUGCUCGGCCUAAUCUUCCAUGUUUUCCUCCUUGCGCUUUUCUUCCUCUGGGGCAAGGAGAAAGAACAGAGAGCACGAUUCCUCCUUCAUCCAGUUUGUGGGGAGGGAGUGGGAAGAAGUCUAAUGACGGAGGCCAGAACAAACCCAUGCUCACAGCUGCUUUCAGCCUCCACGUAUCUACGCCUACAACACCUCCUCACAGGGCCCAGUGGUCAGUGUUCUCAGUGCCCGUCCCGAAACCACACCUGGCCCCAGGCCUACGGCAUGGUGCUACCUAACAGCCUAGGUAAGGCCCCGGAGCACUGCCAAGCAGGAGGCAGCCUGUACAGACCCAGCGUGUGCAGGUUCCGAAGUGCAGGCCACGGUGCAGCUAGGAGUGCAGAUGAACGCCCUCGGCUGCCUGAAGCUCACGGUGCAGCGGAGGAGGGAACUGGCUGCGCAGGUGCUGGAAGUGCUGGUAAGGCAGCUGGAGAGAGGAAAUUCAAAAAUAUGGCCUUCCCGAAAUAUUUGCUGCUAGAAAAACGUAAAAGCCCUCAAGCGCCUCUACCAAGGGGAAAUGAGAACAGUCAACAUCCUUCCGUCCCUCCAGAAAGGUCAUCAGCUUCAGGCCCACGGGCAUCCAGCGGUCUGCGAACCACUUCGCACCGAGGUGCGGGCUCUGAAACGCACUCAGCGAAGACGACCCUGAGUCCUAGGCAGCAAGACGGCGGUUAACUUGAGCCCCAGAUCUUCCUGCACGAAACUAGCUGAGAGAAACAGCCAACUCGAGUCCUCAGAACACACUGGGAGGGCACCAGGCUGUGUAGACCACCCACUCGGUGCCCACUGCGCCCCCACUUCCGUGGAGGCAGGCGUGUUUACUGGAAGUGUAACACGUUUUUGUUGGGGAGAUUGAGCGCUUUUGAAUGAUUUUCAUUAGAGUAUAAAGUAUCUUGAUUAAAACAUUUCCUUAAAAUGCUUUCAUGCUGUGUCUUCUUGUUAAAAACAAAACAAAACAAACAAACAAAAAAAUAUAAGGUCUGAGGAUCCACAAGGACAAGGAUGCUGUUUGUUUAUCAAACGCUUUCCCCUCCUAAGCAGAAGAAAUGCCAACCCUUCACAAACGCUGUUUUGUUAGGAAUUGAUAUCUGCCAUAUCCUUAUAAGUGGGGAAAGAGAAAAUAUGAUCUUCAUAUGUUUUAUUCUUUAAACUGACAAAUAAUAAUUCCACGUAUUCACGGGGUACAUAGUAGUGUUUCCAUACAUAUAAGAUCUAGUGGUCAGAUCAAGGUAACCCGCAUAUCCAUCAGGUCAAACACUUACCAUUUCUUCGAGUUGGGAACAUUUCAUAUCCUCCUUCUAGCUACUGAAACUGUACAUUAUUGUUAAC